GAUGAACGCUGGCGGCGUGCCUAAUACAUGCCAGUCGAGCGAACAGACGAGGAGCUUGCUCCUCUGACGUUAGCGGCGGACGGGUGAGUAACACGUGGAUAACCUACCUAUAAGACUGGGAUAACUUCGGGAAACCGGAGCUAAUACCGGAUAAUAUAUUGAACCGCAUGGUUCAAUAGUGAAAGACGGUUUUGCUGUCACUUAUAGAUGGAUCCGCGCCGCAUUAGCUAGUUGGUAAGGUAACGGCUUACCAAGGCAACGAUGCGUAGCCGACCUGAGAGGGUGAUCGGCCACACUGGAACUGAGACACGGUCCAGACUCCUACGGGAGGCCGCAGUAGGGAAUCUUCCGCAAUGGGCGAAAGCCUGACGGAGCAACGCCGCGUGAGUGAUAAAGGUCUUCGGAUCGUAAAACUCUGUUAUUAGGGAAGAACAAAUGUGUAAGUAACUAUGCACGUCUUGACGGUACCUAAUCAGAAAGCCACGGCUAACUACGUG
rnacentral:rRNA from 1 species